CUGGGAAUUGAACCAGCAACCUUUUGGUGGCAAUGAUGGUAUCCAACCAACUGAGCUACACUAGGCAUAGUGAUUUUUGUGUUUUUAAAAUUUCAUAAAUGAGUCUUUUUACCCUUUCAGUACAAGAAGAAGGUUGCUUCUGAGUCUCUGUUGAAUCCUCAGGGCAGCAGCCCAUACCUUUUUUAUUGGUAGACUGAAUGAGGGGCACUCACAAUGCGUGUCAGCUCAGCAGGUUCCCUUACCCAAUGAUUGGCAGUUGAAUCAGGUCAUCCUGCAUAUAGGAACUUUGGCUUAUGUAUGAAUUGGUUUAUGUGUUGGUGGCAAACAGUUGGGAACCAAUAAACCCUUAUUUUUGGAAAGCAUGCCUUUUUUUAACUGUCCAUGUGGGUUUCAUUAUGUGAAAAUAAUCAUUAGUUUUAUUUAUAUGAUGGUUUAGCAUUUGUCUUCUAUAUAAUUAUUUUAUAUAUCAUUAAGCUAUAUCAAAUUAAUGCUAUUAUCAGUUUUAUUUAAUGUUAAUAUGAAAGGGGGGUAAUUCUCAGGUGGGGAAGAUCCAUCCACUCAGUUAGUGGCCCUAGUUCUUCUUUCAGGCUCUGCUCAUGAAGGGAUUCUCGGCUUAUUUGGAGCCAUUUGCUUUUCAGCAUGCCUAACUUUAACUGACUGGUUCCAUAGACCUUGUAACCUGUUAUUCAGAGUACAUUGGAGAAGUCAUCAGAUGAAAGGUGAAAGAUUAAUGUCAAAGCAAUAGGAGAAAAUGAAAAAACAGUCAAGUGUUUUAUUUAUGAGAACAUCACAUAGUGGCAACAAUUAUCAGAAACUUAAUUUUCAUUAAUAAGUCUUAUUAUUACAGUCUUGAAAUUAGUACUGUAGGACUAAUCUUGAUGAACACCAGUAAUAAAAUCUAGCCUGCUGGGAAAUUAGAGU